rnacentral:rRNA from 1 species
AUGGAUAGGGAGAGGCGGUCGCGAGAGGAGUGGUCGCCAUUAGCGCGAGAAGGUCUUGCACUCUCGCCACUGAUCCACUGUCCACCGUAUCGCACACAUUUAUCGUCGCACAAAGGGCGCUCGCUCGCGCAUGCCACGUCGGAAGAGGCGGACUGUGCAGCGCAGCCAAUGGGGAGUGAUGACACUAUUUUGUCGAUCAAUAUUUUUGGCUGGGCGCAGCAAAGGAGGCCACAUACACGCGGCCCAGCCCAGCACUCCAUGCUCUCUCCAUCCCCAUACGCAACCUCUCCUCUUCUCGUUUCCCCUCUGCCUCACCGCCGCCACUGCUUCCUCUUCACCCCCUGCAUCCUCUCCCCUCCGUUGGUGCGGCCACACGAAAAACGGCGGCGAUGACGAGGGUCGGUCCUUGGCGCAUACCCACGCCCCCGGUCUGUGGCAGUGACGGAUCUCUUCGUCUCACGGGGCCAGGCCUCCCGUCUGUGCCGCGACGGCGCUGGCAUGGAGACCUGGGCUCAGGCAGCCUCCACAAUUUUGGGUGCGCCGGCGAGGUGUCUUCUGCAGCGGCUGGCGGGUGUGUCAGUUCACUACUCAUCUCGUCCAUCUCCAAGCCUCCAAUAUGGUCAUCCUCCUCUCUGGUUUUGCUGAUUCCGACGGCAUCUGCUCGACCUACAGGUCCUUUUCCCUCUCUCUCUCACCAUGAUCUGCACUUCCUGUGAGUUUCCUUUUAUUUCGUCUCUCGUCAUCUCCACAUGAUUCUCGCAUAUUGUUGUAUUGGCUUGAGCUUGUGGUACCUGCAGUUUAUACCGGAACUUAAUCAUCUGGUCAGGAUUCCAUGCCCUUUUUUCUUGAGCUGAUUUACUGCUUAAUAUCUGAUGGGAUAUCUGUGACAUUUGUUCGCAUUGGGUGUCAAUGCUGGCGAUGAAAAUAUUAUUAAUGCUCUUAUUGGGGUGUCAGUGUUGGAAGCUGCUCAUGAGAAAUAUAACUUGAAGGUCCUCUGCAGUGCUACUUUUUUAUUUACUGAUUUUGGUUUUAGUUAAGAACAAUAGGCAGUGAUUCCAUGCUUGUACUUGACCUCAUGUGCUUCCUUUGACUUGAUAUCUCCUGUUUUAACUGUGAGAGUAAUUAGUCGCAUCAUAUAUCACAAGGAAUUCUACUAACCAUGUAAAAGGCUUAAGGACAAAUUGAGUACAACUCUAUCUGAAUUUUUUUGUACACUGAAGCAGUUUCUAAGGUUUCAUCUUCACCAUCAUCAGUCAUAUCAAAGACAGGUUUCCUGACAACUAGAUACUUUAACUUUUAUAGAUUGUAUCAUGGUCUCAGUGAAAACUUCAAUAAUUAUAUCUUUUAGUCAUGUGUAAUUUUGUCCUUCUUUCAUCUGCUUGGCUGAAAAUCAUUUGUAGUUGUGUAAACUGCUUGAUUUUAUCCCCUUUCUUGCGAAAAAUGGUUUGCUUGCAGAAUAUGCCCAUUAUUAAGAUAAUGUCUUAUGUUGAUAGGUAAGUUCAAAAUUGGGUAGAGAUAUAUCAUUGCUACCUUUCCCUCCUUGUACACCUCCUUUGAUUUUGCAUCCUGUUAAAAUUUUUGGUUAAAUUUUGUAGCAUGUUGACUUAAUACAGUACAAGACAUACUUACCUAAAAUUUGAUACACAUGAGCUAAUUGUGUGACCUUUUCCCUAACAUUUUGACAGAGGAGCUAAUUCUGUAGCGUGAUCUAUGAUUUCUGCUUCAACGCUCAACUUAUCAAGUCAACAAAUGUUCACUUUCAGGUAUAUGUCUAUUCAAUGUCGCGCCUCUUUUCCCCUGUUCCAAAAGUUUGCUUGAUCGCGCCCACGCCAUGGCCGCCGUGCUCCUUUUUGCUCUGCCUGUCAACCAGAUCGGCCGAUGAGGCGGAUGCCUGGAGGCGGUGGACCAUGGAGGAAAGGAGGCCAUCCAUGGUGCGCGCAUCCCCCACACUCGCUCGUCUUUUCCUCCUCGGCUCCGCGGACGCCGGGUGCUCGGGCAUGGCCGCCGCCAUGCCCUGCUCCUGCUGGCCUUCAUCAAAAGCGGAUAACUGAGGGCUCUUCUGUUAUCAAGCUGCUUCUUUUUUGUGCCAACAGUUGCAAGUUAACUUAUUAAUAGUUGGAUACGGGCAUAUCUCAGAUUUUGAGAUUGGACAAAAUACUGAAUAAAAUGGUAACUAGAGGAAAACAAUUGCUCCUGAUACAUCAUAUCUGUAUGAUAUUGUUGCUAUAAGUCUCGGGAGGCGCGCACAUCGAGGCCUGCACACUACAGAAACAUUAUAGUCAUUUAGUUUUCUUUCUUUGAAGUGCUAUUUCUCUGUUUCUUUCCUAAUAGUGGAACAAAAUUACCGUUUCUUGGGCGUCAUGUCACAAGGAGGACGUCGGACUGCCCAUUUUAGUGCACCAUGCCACAAGUUCCAGAAUAUUAUUUUGUCUCCUAAUUAAUGAUUUUGCGACUACUUUCAUUUAACAAGGCUUAUGUGUGCAUAAGUUUGUUAGUGAAUCUGGGAGAUGUAGCUAAAUAUAGAAUAAAAUGUGCUUCUUUGCAUUAGGCAGAUGGAACUAUUCAGUUUAUACUUGUUGUUAAUCUUCUGUGUAUUGUGUAUGGUGCAUUCCUUAUUUGGUUUGCACACCACAGAGUAAACUGAAAUAAGGUAACUUGCAUUUUGUCAAGGAGGUUUGGUUCUAUUUUUUUUCUAUGAAAAAAUUGGUUCUCGACUUCUAUGCCAUCUUUCGUUGUUACAGGUAUGAAGCCUUGUUUUACUAUCCUCGGGAUAAACAUGUUUCAGAUACUAAACAAGGGAACAUCCAUGCCCUUCUGUGAUGUUAACCAUGUUAACCAUCUUACGCCAGGGCCGACGAGGAAGAGGACCGGCGGAGUGGGGUUCGACAAGGUGGCGGUGGUUACUUUGUAUAUCCUGUUGGUUUGUGGUUAUGUAGUUCCUAUAGCUGUAACUUUUGCGCAUUCAUAAGGCCUUUAUAGAAUGCUAAAAGCUUCAGACCUUUGCAUCAACCAAAGCUUACUCUUAGAUACUUGGUUUAAGUUAAAUUUGCUCCAAGUAAUUAAGGAUAUUAGGCCUCUACAAGAAAAGUAAGAAUCUGAAUCCGUAAGUAAUUAUAACCACUCAAGUGUGAUAUUCUUGUGUUGCUUAAAUUUCCAGUUAAGAUAUCUUUUUGAUAUAGAUUGCCAGGUUCCGUUCUCACAUAAAACUCCCAGUUUUGUGCUCAGCAUGUACCUGUAUAUGAUGUUUCUGCUAGAAGCUCUGCUUACUUUGAUGUCCAUCUCUUUUUCUGAAAAAGUCACUAACAGUUUGUUUGGCUGAAUAUCUUAUGUCAACUGGAUUCCAUCUCUAUUUCUGUAAAUCUCUUUCCUGAAAAGGUCAGUGACAAGGUGGUGUGGAGUGAGGGGAUGUAGAGAUGGAUGAGGACGUUGGCAGGAAGUAGUUGCAGCUCGACGGCCGGAAGCAGCAGCUCGCCCUCUGCUAGGUCUUCACCUCCGCCCUUAGUCUACCUUUAGCAGCGGCCAGUUAUACUCAGCUUCGUUGCUCCCACUCCUGUUCCUCGCUCUUUCUUAUAUAGGUUUCCAUUUAAUGGCAGCUCUCUCUCCCUUUUCCAUCUCUCUGUUUUGUAGAUAGCAGAGCAACCUAUCAUAUAUACACACUGAAAUUGAUCUGUUGUAAGCUUAUUCAGAUUUUAUUAAUUUCUUAUUGAUUCAUUAAGGAAUGGUUGUAAUGAAUAUUUUAUAUGACUACAUCCAAGGG